rnacentral:rRNA from 1 species
GACGUAGGGCGCGAGCGUUGUCCGGAUUUAUUGGGCGUAAAGAGCUCGUAGGCGGCUUGUCGCGUCGUCCGUGAAAACCUGCAGCUCAACUGCAGGCUUGCGGUCGAUACGGGCAGGCUGGAGUUCGGUAGGGGAGACUGGAAUUCCUGGUGUAGCGGUGAAAUGCGCAGAUAUCGUGAGGAAGACCAGUGGCGAAGGCGAAUCUCUGGACAGUAACUGACGCUGAGGCACGAAGGCUAGGGGAGCAAACGGG